ACACCAAUUCAUCUGUUGGCUUCAAUUGGGCAAGUGGAAUACAUAGGAUUCUCUUUACCUAGUCUUCAUCAAAAAAGAGUUUGCAUCUUUCUUCUACCCAGGUCUAGGGAUCCAAUAAUCAUUCCAAAUAUUAAUAUUCUCGCCUAUUCCAAUUCUCCAACCGACUCCUUUUUCAAUUAAAUCCCAAGCACUCCAGAUACUUCUCCAGGUAAAUGAUAGGUAAAUACCUAACUGAGCAUUCAUAAAGUCUAAAUUCGGGUAAUACAUACAUGGCUUUCAUUA